UGUGCUAGGUGGGGAGUUAGCGGUGCCCUGUAUCUGCAAUCCGCUACAGCAGAGCCGAACGCCGUCCCCGGUUUUUAUAUGGGAGGCCGCUUCCGGUAAGGGGCGUUGAUCGUAGGGUCUCAUGCAACGGAGCCCUGUGAACCGUGUCAGGGCAGGAAUGCAGCAGCACUAAGCGGACAGCUUCGUGUGCCAUGAGGUAGCUUUACGGGAGUUACCUGCCGGAAUAACGCUC
rnacentral:SRP_RNA from 1 species